rnacentral:rRNA from 1 species
CGCGGGAAUUCGAUUGAGUUUGAUCAUGGCUCAGAUUGAACGCUGGCGGCAGGCCUAACACAUGCAAGUCGAGCGGUAACAUUGAUAGCUUGCUAUCAGAUGACGAGCGGCGGACGGGUGAGUAAUGCUUGGAAAUCUGCCUGAUAGAGGGGGACAACCACGGGAAACUGUGGCUAAUACCGCAUAAUCUAUACGUAGCAAAGUGGGGGACCUUCGGGCCUCACGCUAUCAGAUGAGUCCAAGUGGGAUUAGCUAGUUGGUGAGGUAAGAGCUCACCAAGGCGACGAUCUCUAGCUGGUUUGAGAGGAUGAUCAGCCACACUGGAACUGAGACACGGUCCAGACUCCUACGGGAGGCAGCAGUGGGGAAUAUUGCACAAUGGGCGCAAGCCUGAUGCAGCCAUGCCGCGUGUGUGAAGAAGGCCUUCGGGUUGUAAAGCACUUUCAGUCGCGAGGAAGGGCUAUUAGUUAAUAACUGAUAGCAUUGACGUUAACGACAGAAGAAGCACCGGCUAACUCCGUGCCAGCAGCCGCGGUAAUACGGAGGGUGCGAGCGUUAAUCGGAAUCACUGGGCGUAAAGCGCAUGC